GGGUGAGUAACACGUGAGUAACCUGCCCUUGACUCUGGGAUAAGCGUUGGAAACGACGUCUAAUACCGGAUAUGACUGAUCAUCGCAUGGUGGUUGGUGGAAAGAUUUUUUGGUUUUGGAUGGACUCGCGGCCUAUCAGGUUGUUGGUGGGGUAAUGGCUCACCAAGCCUACGACGGGUAGCCGGCCUGAGAGGGUGACCGGCCACACUGGGACUGAGACACGGCCCAGACUCCUACGGGAGGCAGCAGUGGGGAAUAUUGCACAAUGGGCGAAAGCCUGAUGCAGCAACGCCGCGUGAGGGAUGACGGCCUUCGGGUUGUAAACCUCUUUUAGUAAGGAAGAAGAACUUCGGUUUGACGGUACUUGCAGAAAAAGCACCGGCUAACUACGUGCCAGCAGCCGCGGUAAUACGUAGGGUGCAAGCGUUGUCCGGAAUUAUUGGGCGUAAAGAGCUCGUAGGCGGUUUGUCGCGUCUGCUGUGAAAUCUGGGGGCUCAACCCCCAGCCUGCAGUGGGUACGGGCAGACUAGAGUGCGGUAGGGGAGAUUGGAAUUCCUGGUGUAGCGGUGGAAUGCGCAGAUAUCAGGAGGAACACCGAUGGCGAAGGCAGAUCUCUGGGCCGUAACUGACGCUGAGGAGCGAAAGCAUGGGGAGCGAACAGGAUUAGAUACCCUGGUAGUCCAUGCCGUAAACGUUGGGAACUAGAUGUAGGGGCCAUU
rnacentral:rRNA from 1 species